GACAAGAGUAUAGCACUCCACUCUCAGCCA
rnacentral:piRNA from 1 species